CAAGUACUCCCUCUGUCCGGAAUUACUUGUCAUCAAAAUGGAUGUGUCUAGAACUAAAAUACAUCUAGAUACAUCCAUUUCAAUGACAAGUAUUUUCGGAUGGAGGGGGUACAAG
rnacentral:pre_miRNA from 1 species